GGUAAGAGCGCUGAGGUGACGAGAGGCUGGGAACGGAGGUCUUCCGGUCUGAGGUGCUGAGGUCUCAGGAUCGAGGGAUGAAAGAGAAGAGAUCUUCACUGAGAGAAUGUAAUUCCUCCUGGACCGGAGCAUAAAGUACCCGAAACUAGAGAUCGGUUUCUCUGAAACUGGAGGUAUGAGAUAAAGUUUCAACACAACCACAAACAUUUUUUUGUGGACUAGUGUUCAGGAUCAAUCCCACACAACUCAUUAUCGCAUUGCAACCUGAGACUGGAAGUGCCUGGGGGCGGGAGGCGUUUCUCAGAGUGGAGCUCAGUCAUCCUGCAGAGCAGGGCACCAGUCCAAGGCUGCGGAAACAGCACAACAAUAACCGACUGCUUUCUGGUAUCUCUGUUAAAGUUCUCCAUUGUUUUAGAGGAAAACUGGUUUACGUCUUUCAGCAGAUUGCAUUUUGGCCCCUUCACAGAAAAUGGCUGUAAGAGAUAUUAAUAUAAAUUGUAAAUGAUACACAUCAUUCUGCAUUAUCCGUGUUGCUCCAAAAGAGAGGUGAUUUUUAGAGCAUGUUAGGAAUGUGCAGUUUGGCACAGCUAUGUGAGGCAUUCCCUUUCAGACCUUUCUUCAGGCACUGCAAGUUUCUCAUAGGUCAAAAAGCCAAUCAUACACUGAUAGAAUCCAUGUGUCUUUGAUGACCAUAGUACAUGCUGCUCAUAAAAGCUGGUUCAACAAAAUUUCUGGUGUCUUUCCUGUCUGUGGCUAUAAUUACAUGAAAGCGGCAUUGUUUAAUUGAGAAAGCACAGCAGUGGAGUUCAUAAAUGAAUCUACAAACAGAUUUUCCUGAAAAGUCUCUUCUUUAAUUCAUAUUUCCCUGGGUUUUUUCCCACAUUUAACAAGAUUUUUCAUGCAAGCUUCAUUACAGAGAUUUGCUGCCAAGAUAUUGCAGCACCACUAGACAGAUGACUGACUUGAACAAGAUAUGAUCACCUCUUCAUAAUGACAUGCAUGAUUACCCCUGCAAAUCAUUCAAUUAUGAUAAAGAUUUCAAAUGAAAGAAGGUAAUUUAUUUAUGCACUGUCCAGAAACAUUCAGUCUCUUGUGGAGCAAAACAUGAAUCUCAAUAUGGAAGUCUUUACAGUAACUUUAACAAGACCAAUCAGUUAACCAGGAAGAAAUCAAAGACCUUAUUAUUAAAGCAGUGCCAAGAAAAGUGCUACAGGGCACUGUGCUGCAGUAUAGAGUUACAGUAUGCCAUAAAGGCUGCAUUUAUUUCAAUAUUAACAUCUUAAAAAGCAGCAAAUUUUGCUUGGGAGACUGCAACCCUUGAGUUUCUAAGUGAUCUGGACCUUUCUAAUUCUUGUCAAAUAACAGCCAAGCCUUCUGUUUUUCAGCACAGCCAAAAAGCAAACCUUAAACAUAAACAGGAUUGAAGCUUUGGCACUGAGUGGAAUUUUUAAUUCAGCACUAAGCCAACUAUUGAAUUUAUUUUUCCUAGCACCUAAAUACCCCAUGGGAAUUAUAACACCACUGAUGCUCAGUGCCCCACAGCCCCAUGGCACAGUCUUUCCUCUGAAGAGCUUACAGGACCCACAGCCAAGCAACAUGGGCUUGUUUUGUCUUUAUUCUGGGAGUACAGAUGGCAUUCAGUUCUGCUAAGUUAAAAUAAAUAUCAGAAUUUAAAUAUAACAGCCACAUCCUUCAGACAAGUGAUUGCAUAAAUAUGCAAAGUCUGUGGCCUUGCUUUCAUAUUAAUUUUAACUGCAUCUCACUUGCAUCAUCAGGCAAGGUUUUCUCCUUAUUAUCUUUCACUACCUGUCUCAUUUCAGACAGCAAAGCCAACUCCAACACAUUCCAACUCUAUGAUAACAGAACAUCCAUGGCUAUCUCUGUAAUCAAUAGCAGAGCUCUGAAAUGGUGUGCUUACCCCUCCAGUUGCCAGCAAGGAAAAGGAGAAGGUCCAUGGGAUGAAGAUUCAAAGGUUGCCAGUGCAACCGCUACUCAUUUCUGCUUUCCCAUGCUGUUCAAGGUAGAAAGAGCUUGCCCAGCUCUUCACAGCUUUCUCAUGACAUUUCUAGCUCAGGUCAUCUCAUUCAUUCCAUUUCACAUGCCAGGUAGUGCUUAGUCUCAGCCAGGCAUCUGCUCGCACUCCCUAGGAUGACAGGGGUCUGAUUGCCUGUGAUCACAAUAACCCUGAACUAUGCACACUUGAAAAAUAGGGGUUUUUAAAGUAUCCUCUGGUUUCAUCGCUCAACAUUUGUUAAGGUUGUUUUCACCCUGUAGCUAAAGCACCACUGAAAAGCAUAAUGGAAAUCCCCAGUGAAUAAUUUUGUCCUUUGUCAUGUACAGGACCUUUUCUGAUUUGCCACAGGGGAACAUGCAAGGUUUCUGUGAAAGCAAAGGGUCAGGAUGGAGGCUGAGAUCAUCAGGUUUUUCAGUUAUACAGAGUUUACAGAGUUUCAGACUGCCUGACCCUUACCUUUGAAAAUGGAGCUCUCAGUGGUUCCUACAGAAGUCAUUAGAACUUGUACCCCAGUGGUGCCUAAAGCCAUCAGGAUCCAGAUUUUAUAUGCAGUAUAAACUCGAAGUCUUUCCCCUAGGGAGCAUUUUCUCUCCAUCUUUCCUCACCCUCAUUACAUAUUCUGCCCCAAGGCAGAAUGGAAGCCGUUAUGGUAGUUGUAACAUGACUGCUCUCAUGUGAACACGUCUCACUGCAAACUGUGGAGAUGCCAAUCUCCACAGAUUUCUCUUCACAUUUACAAUUUUGUGACAUUCAGCCACCCUCAGUAAUGGUUAAGUCUGAAUUGCAAAUUAGUCUCUAGUCUCUCCUCCUCCAAAUCAUCUACCCAUCCAGUUUUAAUUCCUUCUAAUUGAUAAAGAGAGGUGAAAUUCCCAUUCCUGGGCACCCUGUCUAAUUUCCUAGUCAGCCUUGCUUCAAGCAGGGGAUUAAGGUAGACACCUCCAGAGUUCCCCUCCAACUUGACUUUUCAUUUGAUCUUACAUUUAUAAGAGAUGGUGUAUUAAGUGACCAUGUCCAGAUGAUGUCAAUGGAAGAGCUGCAGGGCUGCUCUCUGUGAGAAGAGGUCAAGGAUUCCUCUGUGUCAGAGCCAGUUCCAGCCAGCUCCAAAAUGGGCUCACCACAGGACACAACUGAGACAAUCAGUUACACUGGUGGCACCUCUGGGAAAACAGUUAAGAAAGGACCAAAAAUCUGCACAGCAGCUGAGAGUGGUGAGAAAAAUGUGACAGAAGCAACACUAUAGACACCAAGGUCAGUGAAGAAGGAGGGGAAGAGGUGUUCCAGGUGCUAGAGCAGAUUCUUUUGUAGCUCAUGGAGAAGACUGUGCAGGUUGUCUCCCUGGAGCCCAUGGAAGACCCCUCUGGAGCAGGUGGAUGUACCUCAAAGGAAGCUGCAGCCUGUGAAGAAUCCAUACCAGAGAACUCUGAGCCUGUGGAAAGGAGCCUGUUCAGGAGCAGUUUUCUGGCAGGAGCUGUGGCCCAUGGGGGACCUGUGUUGGAGCAGUCUGUUCCUUAAGGUCUGUAUCCCAUGAAAAGGAAACACAUUGGGGCCUUUCUUGAAGAGCUACGGCCCAUGGGAAGGAACCACCCUGGAGAAGUACAUGAAGGAUUCUAUCAUGUCAGAGGGACUCCAUGCUGCAGCAGGGGAAGAGUGUGAGGAAGAAGGGGCAGUAGAGAGGACAUGUCAUAGGCUGACCACAGCCCCUAUUCCUCAUCCCCCUGCAUUGAACAGAGAUGAGCAGGGUGUAGAAGAGUUUGGAAAAAAGAAGCGAAGUUUAGCCUAGGAAAUAGGAGACAGUGGGAGCAAGGUGUUUUCAGCUGUAUCUUUUCUUCUCACUAUCCUGCUUUAUUUUUAAUGGGCAGUAAAUUAAAAUAGUUUUCCCCAAGUCUGUUUUGCCCAUGAUGGUAACUGGUAAGGGAUCUAUCUGUCUAUAUCUUGACCUGUAAGCUUUUCCAUCCCAUGCUUGCCCCCAUCCUUUUGAGGAGGGGGCGGGAGAGCAACUGGAUGGCGUUUGUCAGCCAGCCAAGGUCGAAUCCACCACUGCAGAAACUGAAACAAUAAAACUUUCAGUUGUCAAUUUAAA